CCAAGCGGCCCCAGGGACCGGGGACGGGGAUGGGGACGAGGAGGGAGGGCAGAACGAGCCCGCAAACGAAGCCCCGCGGGAUUGCUGUACCCCUCGCCACCGAAGGGCGCGAGCCAUUCGCCCAAAAGGAAGCCGACCACGAAGGGACUCAAAAAGCUCAAUCUUCAGAUCCGAAAUCAGACGCCUUAUCCCCUUAGGCCAUGCGGUCGCGACGCCCAGUGGGCCCAAAUGCACCGGCCAAGUACAGCCCCUUUGCUAGUGGCGGCGCCGGCGACUCGAGCCGGAGGGGACUGAGCGCGCUGGGCCACAGAGUGCGUCAGAGGGGUGGCGGGGAAGGGAGCCGGGCUACGGUGCUUAAGCCCCGCAUCAUCGCUGGUGCAUCCAGAGAUCACUAAAUAGGCAUUUAGGUAACCGUUUGUACGCAGGGAGACCGCGUGGCCUAAUGGAUAAGGCGUCUGACUUCGGAUCAGAAGAUUGAGGGUUCGAGUCCCUUCGUGGUCGAAACGUUUUAAUCCCGAGGAGAGAUGGCACACCUGUACCUCAACCGAAUCCCAGAACUGUCCUUGUUUUAGACACACACAGGCCUCCGGACCCGCUCCUGACCCUUGCUCCCGUCCCCUGGAGCUGGGAGUGAGGCCUGCCUCCGAACGGCUUUUGCACCUGAGAGCUUCCUGUUGACGUCAUUAUUCAGCUCCGCGGCGUCACAGUUCAAGAAGCAUGUGAUCGGCCGCCAUUUGCGUGAAGCCCCAGUGGCCUAAUGGAUAAGGCACUGGCCUCCUAAGCCAGGGAUUGUGGGUUCGAGUCCCAUCUGGGGUGAAUUAACAAUUUCAGCAAGAUGGGGUUUUUUGUGUGUGUGUUAUUUAUAAGGGUCACCCCGAAUUAUUCCUGCGCCCUCUACUCCAAACCGGCCGCCACGGUUUAUGGAUGCUGCUUGAAGCUAUCGCUGGCUCCCAAGCCCUGCCACGUGGCUGCGGCGCCCUGGCCCUAGCCUGCCCUGCUGGACCCACUGCUGCUUUUCUGGGUUUCCGACUUCAGUUUUCCCUAAAGCCAUCCUCCAGGCCUUGCCUCCGUGAAGCUUACAUUGUAGUGAGAGAGAAGACAGUAAAGAACUAAAUGAACAAACGAGAUGAUUUCAAAAUAAAGAGAGCCAUGGGAAACUGUUAGUUGAGUAGCGAGAGAAAGCCUCUGGGUGGAGAACAGCAGAAGGAUCACUAGCAAUGCUGUCACCUUCAGAGGACUUCUUUACUGUCUUGGCUGAUACACUACCUACCUCAUAGGGUUCUUGUGAGGAGUAAAGGAGGUGAUAUUUCUGUGAACUGAUUAGAACAAUUCCUGGAAGCUCGUAUGUGCUCUAUAAGAUCAGGCAUGGUCGUCCUCAUUUACCAAUAGACUAGUUUGCCCCCUUAUUCAAGGAUUGUGUGAUACUCUCCACACUAGGUGUGAACCCCUAACUGAAGGCUCAAAUUUCAUCUUAGAUUUCUUCUCUUUCAUUCAUAGUGAAUUCAUAUUAAGGUUCUUCUAAAUGCCAAGCACAGUGCUAAGCCCAGGGAAUAUGCAUAUGUCUGAGGCGUAGUGCUGGCGCUCAACAAAGAAUCUUUUAAAAUCUUCUAGAUCUCCCUAAUCUUCUGGCGUUAGAGCAGGAACAGCAAAUGCCUGAUGGAAAGGGUGGAGUGGGAGGUGCAGUUAGCAGGAUGCUGUGGCUGUAACGGGGGAAGGAGCACAGCGUACCAAGAGAGAACCCCGGAGUAAGAGGCUGCAUUUGAGCUUGCGUGCAGCGGGAAUCCAGGGGAGGGCUUUAAGCAGAGGAGUAAAAUGACCAUAUUUGCAUUUUGAAAAGAUCCCCUUGGCAACAAUGUAAAGAAUGGACUGGAGGUGGGUGAGAGUACAGGCAGGGGGACCACUUAGGGAGAGAUGGGUGGCUCAGGGAGGAGAUUACCAAAGCCUGAACAGAAGCAAUAGCAGGACCCCAAGAGGAGGAAAGUAAAGAUGUUCAGGAAAUGGAAUCUGUGGGACGUGCAGCCCAAGAUGGUGCCCAGGAUUUGUGGGGAUGGUGGUGCCACACACCCUGGGGAAGAACAUGAGCUCAGGGUUGAUCCAAGUGCCUGGUUUAUUUUUCCCCACAAUCUAUCCUUUUUUUCAUCAUAGUUUCUAGUUUCUCCUUUGGUGUUAUGCCUAGAAAAACUCUCACUUGAAGAUUAUGUAAAUAUUUACCUACAGUUUUUCCUGUUGUUUCUUGUGGGAUUUUUAAAAAUAUUUAAAUCUGUAACUGGAAUUUAUUUUGAUUUUUAGUGUAGAGUAGGAUCUGUUCUUAUUGCUUUACAAAUAUUUAAACACUUAGAUCAGUGCCUUUCCCCAGUGAUGCAAAAUGCUACUUAGAUACAGGUUAUGGACUUUUUCUGAAGGUUCUUUUCUGUUCCGUUGAUCUAAUUAUUUUUAGCUUUUUAUGCAACUUAACUGUGAGUACUAAUUUAUAACCCAAUUAAUUUUUAAAUAUUUUUCACUUUUUUUCUUAUCUCUAUCCUGAUUUUUCUGUAAUCAAAAUGUAUUGUGUAAUCAAAGUUUUUAUAUCACGCAACUCAAUGCUAUGAAUGUUUUAAUAUGAAAUGUUCAUAUUAUUUUUAUCUUCCAAGCAGUCUGUAAUUACAUACUUUAUUGCUCAUUGAUUCAAGAUUUAGGAGAGUGUGUUUCAAUUUCCAAGUGGCUGCAUUUUUGUAUGGUUUUGUGUUAUUGUAGUUUAUACUUUGACUAUUAAUUGUUGGUUUUAUGUAAUAUUUGCUCUGGGAUUAGUUGAUGUGUGCUAUAGUUUCUUAUUCUUUUUUUUUUUUUUUACUUUGAAGCUUUCUUUAUAGUCUAAUAUGUUGUCAGUUUCCAGUUAUUCUGUUCGUAUGACUUAGAACUUACUACAUAAGCUAUUAAAUUAGCCUUUUUAUUACA